UACGUAGGGGGCAAGCGUUAUCCGGAUUUACUGGGUGUAAAGGGUGCGUAGGCGGUCCGUUAAGUCAGCGGUCAAAGCCCGGGGCUCAACCCCGGCCCGCCGUUGAAACUGGCAGUCUCGAGUUGGAGAGAAGUAUGCGGAAUGCGCGGUGUAGCGGUGAAAUGCUUAGAUAUCACGCAGAACUCCGAUUGCGAAGGCAGCAUACCGGCGCGCAACUGACGCUCAUGCACGAAAGCGUGGGUAUCGAACAGG
rnacentral:rRNA from 1 species